ACAUUAUAUAAUUAUAACUAACAGAACAGUGAACAACGUUAUCUUUUGGAAGCCACCAUUAUGUCAUCGUGUUGUUCCAAAGCUAAACCAUGUCUCCACCAUGAAACCCCUGUGAACAAACCUCACCUUCAACCCCAUGACCAACCUUUCCAUUAUCCCACCACCCCUUAUAACCACAACUGCAAUGAUGCUAUGACACACCCAAAUAAGUUACUGUUAAUAAUCGCACUGGGUAGUCGUAUAGAGGAUCGAGGCCAUUUCACAGUUGCUGCAAAGUGCCUCUCUGGUUCUUUGUAGAUCAUGGAUUUCCAACAUGGCGCGGAUUUCUUCGUGUGGUAGGCGUAACUGUAAACGUUCCAAUUUGGAGUUGAUAGUGAUAUUGAUGACCAUAAGGAGGAGGAGAAGAAUAUGGGGGUUCCUCUGUCACUCACUAACUUUGGCUCCGAGGUUUCUUGGUCAGAAGAAGGAAAAUUGAACUCGGAUCCAAAAGACAAGUGCAGGUGAGAUCCCUCAACAAAUCAGAGGAGAGGCUAUGGCAGUUCUUGGGCUUGCUUUCAUCGAUCGAAGGGGAAAUCUGAGAAAAGGGAGGAGGCGAGAUGAAGAAGUCCUGGCCAGUGAAUCUGCAAUGAGCGACUCCGAUGUCUGCGAGCAACCGUAAGCAAGCGAAGUGGGCUUCGGCGAGGGCACGGUGUAGGCUGCAAUGUGAGGAACAACACUGAAUGGGAAAAAACAAUCCAUAUGAAUAUACUCUAAGAAAAGAAACCCCUUCUGGGUUACGUGUCACCUCCUCCUUUUUUCUGGAUUAUUUUAAGUUUUCUUCUUAUUUCAAGUAGCCACUCUUCUUCUUUUAAUUUCCCGCUCUUCUUCUUCUGAAAAUUUUCAAAAAACUUUGAAAUGAAAUAAGGCUGCACAUGUCAGUCACACCAUCAAUUGGAAUUGGAAAUAUUAAAAAAAAAUAAAAAAAUCCCUAUCUCUUCUCAUUUUUCUCUCUCACUUCUUUACUCUUGGUUCCGUCUUCUUCAUCUCUCUUGAAAUUUUCCUAUUUCACUUUUCUUUCUACAUCUUCUGCAUCAGGAAAACGAAAAUCAAGUGUUGCUCUUCAUCUCAGUCUUCUACAACGCAUCAAGCAUCUGAAGGCUUGCUUUUGAAAGAGCCAUGGGAAGUAGAAUUCGGUGCUAAAUCUGAAGAUCGUUGACCCUAAGAUCCACAGAUUUGCGUAAGAGGAAAACAGACCAUGAAAGGAAGAUGGAGAGCAUGUGGAAGAAGACUGUUAGGCAUGAUGAUGAAGAUAAUGGUAUGUUAUGGUAGAACCAUUAAUUUAUGGUUCUUCCCUAAUUGUUGUUUUAGAAAUAACUUAUUUAAAAAGCUGACUUGAGUUUAACAAAAAUACUUCAUAGUUCUUUCAUUAUCGUCAAAUGGUGUAUUUUUAUAUGAUUUUUUUUUUAAAUUUUACAACUAGAAUCUCAUAUAUACAUAGUAUUACUUCAAAAAAUUAUUUGCUAAACUUAGGCUAUGUUUGGA